rnacentral:lncRNA from 1 species
AAAAGAAAAAAAUAAAUAAAACCGAAAAUUUCGGUUUUAUCCCACUGCCUCCCACGCUCUGUCGACAGAGAGAGGCGGUGGGGCGUGGGGAGAAGAAGAAGAGACAUUGAGGGAGAAGAGAAGAAAAGAAGAAGAGGAGGGAAAAGAAGAGAUUAGGAAGAAGAGGGAGAAGAGAAGAAAAGAAGAAGAAGAAGAAGAAGAGAGGGAAGAUGGAGAGGAGAGAGAGAGAGAGGCAGCANN